rnacentral:rRNA from 1 species
GACGAACCGAGCGAACGUUGUUCGGAAUCACUGGGCUUAAAGGGCGCGUAGGCGGGCAUUCAAGUCCGUGGUGAAAUCCUCCAGCUCAACUGGAGAACGGCCUCGGAUACUGGGUGCCUCGAGUGGUGUAGGGGUGUGUGGAACGGUCGGUGGAGCGGUGAAAUGCGUUGAUAUCGACCGGAACUCCGGUGGCGAAGGCGACACACUGGACAUCUACUGACGCUGAGGCGCGAAAGCCAGGGGAGCAAACGGG